rnacentral:rRNA from 1 species
UGUGUAGGCGGAAGCGUAAGCAUUUUGUGAAAUCCCCCGGCUCAACCGGGGCAUUGCUUGAUGUACUGCGUUUCUUGAGGCAAGUAGGGGUGCGAGGAACUCUUGGUGGAGCGGUGGAAUGCGUAGAUAUCAAGAGGAACGCCGGUGGUGAAGACGUUGCACUAGGCUUGUCCUGACGCUGAGACACGAAAGCGUGGGGAGCGAACGGGAUUAGAUACCCCGGUAGUCCACGCCGUAAACGAUGCUUACUAGGUUGUGGCGGUUCUGACGCCGGCACAGCCGAAGCCAAAGUGUUAAGUAAGCCGCCUGGGGAGUACGGUCGCAAGGCUAAA